AAUAGAUACCCUGGUAGUCCCAGCUGUAAACGAUGCAGACUCGGUGAUGAAUUGGCUUAUUGCUAAUUCAGUGCCGCAGGGAAGCCGUUAAGUUUGCCGCCUGGGGAGUACGGUCGCAAGACUGAAACUUAAAGGAAUUGGCGGGGGGAGCACCACAAGGGGGUGAAGCCUGCGGUUCAAUUGGAGUCAACGCCGGAAAUCUUACCGGGGGGCGACAGCAGAGUGAAGGUCAAGCUGAAGACUUUACCAGACAAGCUGAGAGGAGGUGCAUGGCCGUCGCCAGCUCGUGCCGUGAGGUGUCCUGUUAAGUCAGGUAACGAGCGAGAUCCCUGCCUCUAGUUGCUACCAUUAUUCUCAGGAGUAGUGGAGCUAAUUAGAGGGACCGCCGUCGCUGAGACGGAGGAAGGUGGGGGCUACGGCAGGUCAGUAUGCCCCGAAACCCUCGGGCCACACGCGGGCUGCAAUGGUAAGGACAAUGAGUUUCGAUUCCGAAAGGAGGAGGCAAUCUCUAAACCUUACCACAGUUAUGAUUGAGGGG
rnacentral:rRNA from 1 species